rnacentral:rRNA from 1 species
UACGUAGGUGGCAAGCGUUGUCCGGAAUUAUUGGGCGUAAAGCGCGCGCAGGCGGCCUCUUAAGUCUGAUGUGGAAGCCCCCGGCUCAACCGGGGAGGGCCAUUGGAAACUGGGAGGCUUGAGUAUAGGAGAGAAGAGUGGAAUUCCACGUGUAGCGGUGAAAUGCGUAGAGAUGUGGAGGAACACCAGUGGCGAAGGCGACUCUUUGGCCUAUAACUGACGCUGAGGCGCGAAAGCGUGGGGAGCAAACAGG